GUGGGGAAUAUUGCGCAAUGGGCGAAAGCCUGACGCAGCCACGCCGCGUGAGCGAUGAAGGCCUUCGGGUCGUAAAGCUCUGUGGGGAGAGACGAAGAAAGCCCGUGAAGAGCGGGCCUUGACGGUAUCUCCUUAGCAAGCACCGGCUAACUCCGUGCCAGCAGCCGCGGUAAUACGGAGGGUGCAAACGUUGCUCGGAAUCAUUGGGCGUAAAGCGCACGUAGGCGGCGAAGCAAGUUGGGUGUGAAAGCCCUGGGCUCAACCCAGGAAGUGCAUUCAAAACUGCUUCGCUUGAAUCUCGGAGGGGGUCAGAGAAUUCCCGGUGUAGAGGUGAAAUUCGUAGAUAUCGGGAGGAAUACCAGUGGCGAAGGCGCUGACCUGGACGAAGAUUGACGCUGAGGUGCGAAAGCGCGGGGAGCAAACAGG
rnacentral:rRNA from 1 species